CAAGUUGUGUUUCCUGUUUUUUCUACAGAAAAAAAAAAAGAAAAAAAAAAGUUAGAGCUUCUGUUAACUUAGAAUUUGAAUGAAGCUGUUGUAGACUAUUGGCUUAAAAUGUCUUUUGGAACCUAGAGUGGCUAAGCUGAUCAUAUAUUAGUUGACAAAAUGUGUAGGGGGGGAAUCGUUUGUGUUAAAGGGAAAUCUUAAGCUUUUGUUCUCAUUCAAACAAAAUGGUCAAGGUGGAUCUACAGUAUUUGGUUAUUGAUGAGGAAUUUUUGAAAUUUUAGAACAGGAGAAUCCCUCUGAAGAAAUGUUUUAACAACUUGGAGGUUACCAGAAGCUCUGAAAGACAGUUCAAAAUACAUUGCAUCACAUUUUCUGAUGUCCAGAAAUCUGCAAGUGUCAAUUUUGUAUUUUAACUCCUUCCUUUUACCUGACUAUCAGGGAAGCGUGGUUGAGGCUGACCUGACAUGUCAUGAUGUCGACUUGCUAGGUGGGGUUCGCAAGGGACAUUAACCUUGGAGUUAUCGGUAAGACAACUUUCUUUCUAAUUUUCUUCAGUAAGAUCGAAGGGCUGGGAUGGGAGGAGGGAGGAGAUGAGAAAAUCUGCCAUUACCAUGGAGAGAUUCCAAGCACUGAAGGUAAAGGUUAAAUUUAAAUUCGUCCAUGUCCAAGAGGAGCAUGGCAUAGGUUCUUACAACUGAAAUCAAUCUGAAAAUAAAGAUGACUUGCGCUUCAAAAGAAAACUGGAUGCUAUUUUAGGGAUGCUGGAAGUAUAAAGAGAUAAAAUAUUUUUAACACUUUUUUUUCUUCUGUAACUAAACCCAAGUACGUUGGGAUUUUUUUCCCCACCAUGAAAAAGCAAAGAACUCACAGCACACUUCAAAGUCUAAGAAUGCUGUUAAGAAAUGUGUCCACGUAGGUCUCUGUAAAAUAAUAAAAUUUUAUCUUGAAAAUAACAACAAAACUGGCAUAUCAUGAGUUUGGAUCAUUUAUCUAUUAAACGUGAUGAUACUUAGAAGGCAUUAAUUAAGAGAGAAUUGCCAUUAAGCCAAGGGACACUUGUAGUUGAUCCUAUUAUAAACCCACUGGAUUUUAGUAAUCUUUUUUUGUGGAGGGCAGGAUGUGUUGAUUCUAAACAAAUAGCAAAAGCUGAAGAACAGAUUUGCAAAUCAAACGUGAAAUGCUUGGACAUGUUGAAUCCUUCAUGGCACCUGCUCAUCUUGCACGUUUCCUCAGCCAGAAGUGUCAAGACCUUUCUUUUCCUGAUUGUACAUUCAUGCAGUACUUUGAAAGGAGCAGAGAAGUUGGAAAGAGCUUACUAGGCUAUAGGAGCAUUCCAUGUUCAGUCAUUCUUGAUCGUGGAACUGAAUAGCAUGCCAGUUCUGACAGCACCUACAGAAGAAAUGUAACUGGUGUUUUCUAGGUUUCCUGGACAUAGGCUCUGUCCCUCUCAGCCUCUUGUGGUUCAUCGUGUACUCCAGUCAGGACUCUCAGAAGGCUUGACUCAUAUUUACCUUAUAGCUUAGAACUGCUUCUCCUUGCAAACAUCUAAAAAAAAAGGGGGGGAUGAUGACACUGAAUGAUGUUUCACUUUUUCCUGGGUUUCUCUACUUUUAAAUCAAAGUGUUUAGGGAGCUGGGUCUUAAUUAGCUUUUAGUGGAGGUGAGAGAGAGAAGUAGCUGUGUAACUGCCCAUUAUAUUUACCUGCAAACACCUUUUUGGGUGUCACUCGAGCCGUCUCGGUGCCUUCUAAGAUACCUGUUGUUUGCAACGUUCACAUGGAAUAUUUGUCAUGGUAAUGCCAUGCAACAAGGAAGGCAGAGCAGGAUGAAAAUCAGUUAUAUUCUCCGAAAGGGAGUUCAGCACCUGCUUUUUUAGCCUGUGAUUUGGGUUGAGAGAAGGAGAAUUGAAAAGAAUAGUUCUGGUAUUUUGUUCAUUGAUCAUCUGGUGAAGAACUGUACAGCACUGCAUCGUCUGGAUAGAGAAGGGCAGACCUUUGGGAGCUGAAGAUUGGUAAGACACUGAUGCAACUUUAUUUUUGCUGGCCUUGGCGUCCCUUGCAAUGUUAAGUUUGCUUUUCUAGCUUGUUUUUUCUUCUGAUGUUUUGUUGGUGUUACAGAUGGGAGGUAUUAGCAUGUUCUUAACAAGAACAGCAAUCAAAAAACCUCCUUUCACCACCCCCAACACACAGACGUUUAUGAGAAGAUGGAAUUUUUUCAAUAAAGCCGUUGCUGUGGGUGUGAUACGGAGCCGGGGCAGGGACCCCCGCGGGGGCCUGCAUGGGGGCAUUGAGGUCCUGGACUGAGCUGGUUGUGCUGGAUUAUCGUGUGUCAGGUCCGGUAGAACAGUGUUAACGUCAGGACACUCACAGAAGCGUCCAAGCUGUUUGCAAAGUGGAUGUAACUCGGAAAGCAGCAUGGUCAUACUCACCGUGUGUGUGAUUGCAGAGGGCUGGACCUCAGGUAGCUUGACCUCUGCCUGCAGCUUCUCCUGCUGUGUUCACAAAUGUCUCAGGCCCCACACCCAUGCCUCCUUUCCCGUUUCUCUCAACAGCCUGGUGAGAGGGAAGUUCCUGAUCUUGCCAAAACCCAAACCCAAGCAAACAAAAAAACCUGUAGCUUUACUUGCAGCUUUUCAGCUCUUGAUAAGUUUUGCCACAGAGGCCUGUGCUUGUCUCUUCGUGCUUCCUCCCUGUGUGUGACCCUUUCCCCUUUGGGCUAGGAUCCUUUUCCCCUUUUUAUGUUGACUUCUCAGAACUUGGUCUUCCAGCCUCCUACCCAUCUUGUGUUUACAAUAAGUAAAAUGUUUUCAGUACUCUCAUUACCUUUAGUGGGUUUUCGUCCACGGAUAGUGGCAGAGCCUCCUGACGUUACCUGGAGCCUUGGUUAAUGCCAGCAGUAGGUAACAUCUGAGGUGUUUGAGCUGUUUGAGGUGAUGCUGCUUCAUUGAUUCCAAAUACCUUCCUGUUCUGUUGAAGUCUUCCCACCUCUGCAGUGUUGUUAUCGUUGUGUUGCUGAGUGCCAACUCAGAGGAAUUUCCAUCUUCCAGACCAGUACAAGAGGUAGCAGAAAGGAUGAAACCAAGCCUUUAUUGGCUCUGGGGUUUUGCUCUAUUGUACGAGCCCUAGGUAGGGUAAUCUUGCUUUUUGAUGCAAAUAACACUUCUUGUGACCUGAGAGUUUAGUUAGGUCCAGAGUUCAGCUUGGUUUGAGUGAGUUUUAGAGCUUUAUACCUACACACUGGCAGCAGAAACCCAUCAGCCAUUGUUAUUUCUGGAACAUUUAAUUUGCUGGUCAGAUCCAUUUGAGGCAAGCAUUUUUCUUCUAGAUCCUUUGAUCUUUGGUCUCUGGCCUCUGCUGGAUCAUCAGCCUGGCUUUACAUAUGUCUUUUGAUCUCUUUAGGAUUCAAGAAAUGAGGAUUUUUUUGGUUUCAUUCCUUUUUUAGGGAAAUAGCAGUUGUGGUCACAGCUGUCGGAUAGCUCUUGACUCUUAAAAUUCGUAGUUUCUCCAAGACUGGUGGUAGUUCUGUAUUCGCUGCGUUUGGCCAUUGGGCUUAGAAGAUGCUCUCGGGGGCGUGUGGGAGUGCACUGUCUCCGCGGUGGCACCUUCUCGAUGAUACCUUGACAGGUAUCAUCGCUUCAACUGGCAUAGGCAACAAGAAACGUGUGAGGAACAUGGAUAUUUAUUACCAAGAACUGACCUCAGACAAAUUGGUGUUCAGAGACUAAAGCAUGAAAAUAGCUUAAAUCAGCUCUGACAGUGUCACGUCUCUUAUCAGUGAGCUGAAGCAGUACCUCAGGUAACUGUCGCCUGCCUUCUCGCUUCCAGAUUCAGUCCUGAUUUCUAGUUUAUAGACAGUUGUACAGGUACAGGGAGUUAAGCUUAUUUUGAAAAACUGAUGGGCAUUUUCCCAAGGGAUUCAGGAUGUUUGAUGGUAAUGUAAAACAGUUUACUUGCUUUUUUUGCUUACCUUUGGCUUUACACUCCCAGAGAGGCAGGAGGGUAACCUAACACCUUCUCAGUCUCAUUGCAGCUUCUUUAAACUACGUCUGUAUGUGACAGUUGAUUAGCUAUUUACAUAUUAAUAUUACUAACUAGCAAUCUCAGUGGAGUUCUUCACCACAUUAAUGAGGAGGGCAGCAGAGCCUUUCCUGAGGUUGAGAAGUCUGUUUUAUUCCUGUUAUUUGCAAUAAAGGGAGACCUCAUUUGCUGCUUUUGUACCUGCUAAAUGCCAGCUUCCUCCUUUCCUUGGUGCAGGGUUAGAGGACGUGUGCUCUGUUAUAAUAACUUUCUUCUGUUUGAAAUGUAAUUAUUUUUACUCUCAUCCGUUUUUAGAUGAUGAAGGAUAGACACUGCGAUGGGCACUAAAGCACGGACUUGCAGUGUGUGAACUCUGACAGCAGGUACUUGUGUCUAGUCCCGGUGGCCUGAUGUGUCUGGGGAAGGCUUAGGUGCCAUGUGUCUCUUGGCCAUGGCUUUUCUGUGCUCGAUUUAUUAAUUUCAGUGUUGAUAGAAGCAUUUGUCUCCGUUUAUAGCAUAUCCAAGAGCUGUGCUGCAACAGAGGAGUAAAUGUAAAACAUACCAUGGAUUAGGCAGCAUCUAGAAGAACCCCAGCAUCUGCCUGUUGUGGCAAGGGACAUGAGCAGUGCCUCAACUGCAUUAGCAGUUCCAGGUGGGUGUGUUACGUGUAUUUGCAGUCUCCUCUCUUGUUCUAUGCAGUGUACUAGAAACUGCACAUGCCUUGUAUAAUUUGUUUCCUACCCGAUCCUCUUGUAAUGUCCAGUUUUUCUAAUAAACAUCUUUUGAAGUGAUUGCUUUGUGACUGUUUUCCAAGGGCCUGAGUGUUCUCAUGUGUUGCUUGUCCUCAGUGACAUAUUCCCUUUGGAUCACUCAGGGAAGAGGAGCAGAGAAACUCAAAAUUGCUUCCUUUGGGUGGGAACUUUCUCUGGUCCUAAGUGUUUUCGUGGAGUGUCCUGAUGUUUCAGAUCAGAUGGAAAACCAUUUUAAGCAAACCUGAUGAAACUUCUCAUGAAGCAAAAUUAAUUCUGAAUGUUUGUUUGGAAAAAUGAUGAUGAAACAAAUGGGAAGUUGCCAUCUUGCGAUUUUAUUCCUGUGAAGUGCCAAGCCCCGUGGGAAGCUUCAGCCACAUAAAGUUAAGAGUUACCUCACGCUUACAUGAAUACCAAGGGUUUGGCUUCAUCCUGGCUUGUCAGUUUUUGUUUCAGAGGAGGAGAGAGCGAGAUGCACCCAGUGGUCUUUAAUGUGUUUAAACGGUGUUUGCAAUAUUCCUUCAUUUGACUGUUUCCAGGCAGCAGGGGGAAGGCGCCCGCAUGCCUGCAUAGAUCUGUUGUCAAGAGGUGAGAAUCUGUGUGUGCGCAUGUGUGUAUUUCCUUAAAAAAUCCCUUUCCUCUAUGAAAGUGUUCUGGCAUGUCAUGUAGUUCAGUUUGGCUUUGGUUUUCAUUUCAGCUGUGCAGACAUUACGAGAAUCACUCAGAAAGACACUUUUUUUUUUUUUUCCCCAUGCUUAAUCCUUUUUACAUGCAGUGUUGUCCUAGUAUUGCU